GUUGUAUGGUUAAGUGACUAAGCGUACAUGGUGGAUGCCUUGGCAGUCAGAGGCGAUGAAGGACGUACUAACCUGCGAUAAGCCGUGAGCAGUCGGUAAGAGACAUUACGACUCACGGAUUUCCGAAUGGGGAAACCCACUUAGCAUAAGCUAGGUAUCGCUACGUGAAUACAUAGCGUAGCGAGGCGAACCGGGAGAACUGAAACAUCUAAGUACCCCGAGGAAAAGAAAUCAACCGAGAUUCCCUCAGUAGCGGCGAGCGAACGGGGAUUAGCCCUUAAGCAUCUUGGAAGUUAGUGGAACGGUCCUGGAAAGGCCGGCGAUACAGGGUGAUAGCCCCGUACACGAAAACAACCUUGAUGUGAAAUCGAGUAGGGCGGGACACGUGACAUCCUGUCUGAAUAUGGGGGGACCAUCCUCCAAGGCUAAAUACUCCUGACUGACCGAUAGUGAACCAGUACCGUGAGGGAAAGGCGAAAAGAACCCCUGUGAGGGGAGUGAAAUAGAACCUGAAACCGUGUACGUACAAGCAGUGGGAGCCCUUCGGGGUGACUGCGUACCUUUUGUAUAAUGGGUCAGCGACUUACAUUUUGUAGCGAGGUUAACCGUAUAGGGGAGCCGUAGGGAAACCGAGUCUUAACUGGGCGUCUAGUUGCAAGGUGUAGACCCGAAACCGGGUGAUCUAGCCAUGGGCAGGUUGAAGGUUGAGUAACAUCAACUGGAGGACCGAACCCACUAACGUUGCAAAGUUAGGGGAUGACCUGUGGCUGGGGGUGAAAGGCCAAUCAAACUCGGAGAUAGCUGGUUCUCCCCGAAAGCUAUUUAGGUAGCGCCUCGGACGAAUACUACUGGGGGUAGAGCACUGUUUGGGCUAGGGGGUCAUCCCGACUUACCAACCCCAUGCAAACUCCGAAUACCAGUAAGUAAUAUCCGGGAGACACACGGCGGGUGCUAACGUCCGUCGUGAAGAGGGAAACAACCCAGACCGCCGGCUAAGGUCCCAAAGUUCUGGUUAAGUGGGAAACGAUGUGGGAAGGCUCAGACAGCUAGGAUGUUGGCUUAGAAGCAGCCAUCAUUUAAAGAAAGCGUAAUAGCUCACUAGUCGAGUCGGCCUGCGCGGAAGAUGUAACGGGGCUCAAACCAGGCACCGAAGCCGCGGAUUCACACUAAGUGUGAGUGGUAGGGGAGCGUUCUGUAAGUCUGCGAAGGUGUGUCGAGAGGCAUGCUGGAGAUAUCAGAAGUGCGAAUGCUGACGUAAGUAACGAUAAAGGGGGUGAAAAGCCUCCUCGCCGGAAGACCAAGGGUUCCUGUCCAACGUUAAUCGGGGCAGGGUGAGUCGACCCCUAAGGCGAGGCCGAAAGGCGUAGUCGAUGGGAAGCAGGUUAAUAUUCCUGCACGACUUGUAAUUGCGAUGGGGGGACGGAGAAGGCUAGGUGGGCCAGGCGACGGUUGUCCUGGUGAAAGUGCGUAGGUGGUGUUUCUAGGCAAAUCCGGAGACACAACACUGAGAUACGAGACGAACACACUACGGUGUGGAAGCCAUUGAUGCCCUGCUUCCAGGAAAAGCCUCUAAGCUUCAGAUUACAAGUCAUCGUACCCCAAACCGACACAGGUGGUCGGGUAGAGAAUACCAAGGCGCUUGAGAGAACUCGGGUGAAGGAACUAGGCAAAAUAGAACCGUAACUUCGGGAGAAGGUUCGCUCUUGACAGUGAAGUCCCUUGCGGAUGGAGCAGUUGGGAGUCGCAGUGACCAGAUGGCUGGGACUGUUUAUCAAAAACACAGCACUCUGCAAACACGAAAGUGGACGUAUAGGGUGUGACACCUGCCCGGUGCCGGAAGGUUAAUUGAUGGGGUUAGCGCAAGCGAAGCUCUUGAUCGAAGCCCCGGUAAACGGCGGCCGUAACUAUAACGGUCCUAAGGUAGCGAAAUUCCUUGUCGGGUAAGUUCCGACCUGCACGAAUGGUGUAACCAUGGCCAUGCUGUCUCCACCCGAGACUCAGUGAAAUCGAAUUCGCCGUGAAGAUGCGGUGUACCCGCGGCUAGACGGAAAGACCCCGUGAACCUUUACUACAGCUUGGCACUGAACAUUGAACCUACAUGUGUAGGAUAGGUGGGAGGCUUUGAAGGCGUGACGCCAGUUGCGCUGGAGCCGUCCUUGAAAUACCACCCUUGUAUGUUUGAUGUUCUAACGCAGGCCCGUGAAUCCGGGUCGCGGACAGUGCCUGGUGGGUAGUUUGACUGGGGCGGUCUCCUCCCAAAGAGUAACGGAGGAGCACGAAGGUUGGCUAAUCCUGGUCGGACAUCAGGAGGUUAGUGCAAUGGCAUAAGCCAGCUUAACUGCGAGACGGACAGGUCGAGCAGGUACGAAAGUAGGUCAUAGUGAUCCGGUGGUUCUGAAUGGAAGGGCCAUCGCUCAACGGAUAAAAGGUACUCCGGGGAUAACAGGCUGAUACCGCCCAAGAGUUCAUAUCGACGGCGGUGUUUGGCACCUCGAUGUCGGCUCAUCACAUCCUGGGGCUGAAGUCGGUCCCAAGGGUAUGGCUGUUCGCCAUUUAAAGUGGUACGCGAGCUGGGUUCAGAACGUCGUGAGACAGUUCGGUCCCUAUCUGCCGUGGGCGUUGGAUGAUUGAAGGGAGUUGCUCCUAGUACGAGAGGACCGGAGUGAACGAACCUCUGGUGUUCGGGUUGUCACGCCAGUGGCACUGCCCGGUAGCUAAGUUCGGAAUCGAUAACCGCUGAAAGCAUCUAAGCGGGAAGCGAGCCCUGAGAUGAGUCAUCCCUGACCCCUUGAGGGUCCUAAAGGGCCGUUGGAGACCACAACGUUGAUAGGUGGGGUGUGUAAGCGCGGCGACGUGUUGAGCUAACCCAUACUAAUUACCCGUGAGGCUUAACCAUACAACACCCAAGAAGUGUUCU
rnacentral:rRNA from 1 species